GUUGGUAUUUCUCUUAUCAGGGCAUACUGAACUGCUCUCAAUGGCCAUUUACAGCAGCUCAAGGAAUGGCUGGUGGCAAGUCUCUCUGUUAGCUUGCAGCUGCCUAAGCCUGAGCUGCUUGGUCUCAUUCUAAUUCCGUUCAUAGCUUUGUACAAGAAGAAUAAAUCCUUUCUGUGCCUGGGAAAACCAAGUUCCAAGACCUGCUUUUCAGACUUUGUGUUUGACUGCUGCACAUGAAAUGACAAAAGUGCAACCUGUGGUGUUCCAGGCUGCUGUGCUCUCUUUUUCAGGCUUUACUGGAAUCCAUUAUGGAACAGUGUUUUCUGAUAGUGAUACAAUGGUUGUUUGCUUGCUUUGUAAUCACAGCAGCUCAAAGCUCCACAUGGAUGGUAGAAGCGUUUUGAUUUUUCACUUAGGCACCUGAAUGGCCAGUUGUUUUUCCACCUCUGAAGGCAGUUGAACCUCAACCUUUUGGUUUUCAAACAUAGUUCCCUUGUUUCAAAGUGUUGAAAAUGGCUGGCCUCAAACUCAUUAAAAACACCUUUCUAACUCAGGAGCUGUUGGUGCUGCUUUUCCUCACAUUGUUGAUACAAAUAAAGGCUGCCUGGAAGCAGCUGGAAUGGAGCUUCCCUAUGCUCCUUGCAGGUUCUCUCCUGGUACUCCAGUUCCACUGAAUUUAUCUUAUUCAUUGGAUCUGCUUUCUCAGUAGCCUGCCUGUGCUGAGCACCUCUUAGCAACUGUAAUUAUUUUAGAAACACCACAAUUUCUUUCUUGUUGCAAUUGAGACUUUGCAUUUAAUUCAAGUCUGAAGCACAGCACCCUCACAAACAGCAUUUGGGAUGGUGACUGGGGAAUGUCUACUGACAGCAGAGUUCCAGUGUGGCACCCAAAAAAUUACUGCAAUUUAACUUUGAAAAAACAUAAUGAUUUUUAUGGAUGCUUUGUUCUGCCAGUGUAUUUACAUCUCUGAGCGUUGAGAUAGAGUAUCUUUGCUGCUUGUUGCUUUUGUGGCUCUUUUUUCCCAUCAAUACUCUUCCAUAUUUUCUUCCUUGACAGGCACUCCUCACUCAUGGAUCCCUUGAAAAGCCUGUCCAGUGUCCUCUAUCCUGGCUCCCUCAACAAGCCCUGGCUCAGACCUUGAGUCUUUUCCAGGGGCUGGCACACAGCAAAGAUCUUAACAAGGUUUGGAAAAUGAGAUGCCAGAGGACUGAUGGAGAGUCAACAUGAACCAGUGCUUAAAAGGGAAUACUAGACUGGAUAAACAUACUCUAAUCAGAGAUAAAUUAAUGAAGUGGUUACACUGGGACUCUGUCAAUUGAGAUUAAUAAGUAUUUUCCACUGUGCUUCACUGAUCAGACACAUCUUGUCUGAUACAGACAAGGUGGAUACAGAGAUGCAAGACACAUACAGAGCAGGCAGAGGUUUUGUUUCUGGGACAUUAUUUUACUGCCUGAGGACUAACACACUUUCCAAACACUGUCAUCAGUCUCAGCCCAGAGUUACCUGACUAUAAGCAGGACUUGUGCUGUGUGAGACCCUGAGAAGAGAGAUCACACCUCUCGCUUGGGAUGGAGCCCUCUGCCCUCAGACUCUGUGAAAUCUAUAAGCUUUAGUAAGAUAACAGCUCCCUGGUGCAAAUAGGAUUUGCAGGACUUGCUUUUCAAUUCAGAGGCUGUAGCCACUGCAGGUUUUGAAUUGCACAUGCCCAUGGAGAAGAAAAAAACUGCGGUUGGGGCAGUGCCAGCUGGAAACAUUUCAGCACAAGAGGCAGCAGCCUGGAUUUCAGGCAGAUGUUUUAGUCAGCCUCUGGCUAGUCAUUGUUUAAUGGAACAUCGAGUUUUGGGAAGAAAAGCUCCUUCUCCUGGAUGUGUUUGGCUGCCAGAUAGCCUUGAGGUGGCUUGGGAAGAUGGAUGAGGCACACAGACCCUCGCUGCUGGUGGGAUGACCUCUCAGAGCAUGCUUGCUGUGGGCAAAGAAGGUUUUUCAUCUCACCUCUCUGUAGAGAGAAUCACAAAACCCUGCAUUUCAAGGCUGUAGUAGUGCCAAAGGGGAGCAUAUGCACAUACUAAGGAAGGACAAAUAGGUGCAUAAUUUUCUUUUCUGCUCAUCCCACUGUGGAAAGCUUAAAUGACAAGAUGGAAAUCCUGCAAAAUCAGGAGGUGGUACUGCUGCUCUAUGUCCUUUUGCUAUUCAAAGUAGCUUUUUUCUUGCUGAAUAUAAGUACCAAUGCAGAUUUCCCUGUGAUGUUCCUGCCACCCUUGGUGGGGUAAUGUCUCACUUGCAGAUGCAGCAGAUGAAGGGACUGUUUUGCUGUUUAGCUGGUGUGUAACAACCAGUGUCACACUGAGCUCUAUCCUCUGCUCUUCAAAGGGGUAAUUUGAAGCAGCCCCACAGCUGCUGCCCCACUUAAUGUCUGCCACCAGCUCAGAGGAGCAGUUGGUAAACAGCUUAUACAUCUAUCAGAAGCCCAGGAGGGAAAUUUGCCUUGUAUAUCCAUACACAUGUAUAUAUUAAUGAAAUGUUUAUCUUUUUGGAGAUAUUUUUUCUCAAAAAUAAAAAAUAUUGAGGAAUUAUUUUUUUCUCUAAAUCGAAUGCUGACUCUCUGCUGAGAUUUUGGAGCAUGAAGGAGUAGAUGGGAAAGCUUCUGCAAUUCAUUAAGAUAACAUAAAAGAGGGAGAAUCCACAUUCCUCAUAAAACACAAAUGCUGAAAAAUCCACAGGAGAAUGAAGAUUAUAAUGAAUAAUUCAGACAAUACAUCCUUGAAUGAGAAUGUUUCAGCUUCCUCAUUUGCUCAGUCUCUCAUCUGAUCUCCAAGAGCUAAACAUAAAUGUGGAAAAAGUGAAAUAAAAUAGUUUUUCAGAAC